CCUACGGGAGGCAGCAGUGGGGAAUAUUGGACAAUGGGCGAAAGCCUGAUCCAGCAAUGCCGCGUGAGUGAUGAAGGCCUUAGGGUUGUAAAGCUCUUUUACCAGGGAUGAUAAUGACAGUACCUGGAGAAUAAGCUCCGGCUAACUCCGUGCCAGCAGCCGCGGUAAUACGGAGGGAGCUAGCGUUGUUCGGAAUUACUGGGCGUAAAGCGUACGUAGGCGGUUAUUCAAGUCAGAGGUGAAAGCCUGGAGCUCAACUCCAGAACUGCCUUUGAAACUAGGUAGCUAGAAUCACGGAGAGGUUAGUGGAAUUCCGAGUGUAGAGGUGAAAUUCGUAGAUAUUCGGAAGAACACCAGUGGCGAAGGCGACUAACUGGACGUGUAUUGACGCUGAGGUACGAAAGCGUGGGGAGCAAACAGGAUUAGAUACCCUGGUAGUCCACGCCGUAAACGAUGAUAACUAGCUGUUCGGUCUCUACGAGACUGAGUGGCGCAGCUACGACAUUAAGUUAUUCCGUCCGUCGGGUAGGUACGGUCGCGAAGAAUUAAACUAACAAAGUAAGUAGUAGACGCGNGAGACGCGACGACGACGACGACGGAGGGAGGAG
rnacentral:rRNA from 1 species